GAUGAACGCUAACGGCAGGCCUAACACAUGCAAGUCGAGGGGUAGAGUUAGCUUGCUAACUUGAGACCGGCGCACGGGUGCGUAACGCGUAUGCAAUCUGCCUUGUACUGAGGGAUAGCCCAGAGAAAUUUGGAUUAAUACCUCAUAGUAUUAUGAUGUGGCAUCACAUUAUAAUUAAAGUUCCAACGGUACAAGAUGAGCAUGCGUCCCAUUAGUUAGUUGGUAAGGUAACGGCUUACCAAGACAAUGAUGGGUAGGGGUCCUGAGAGGGAGAUCCCCCACACUGGUACUGAGACACGGACCAGACUCCUACGGGAGGCAGCAGUGAGGAAUAUUGGUCAAUGGGCGCAAGCCUGAACCAGCCCUGCCGCGUGCAGGAUGAAGCAUCUAUGGUGUGUAAACUGCUUUUGUACGGGAAGAAACACUCCUACGUGUAGGAGCUUGACGGUACCGUAAGAAUAAGGAUCGGCUAACUCCGUGCCAGCCGCCGCAGUAAAAC
rnacentral:rRNA from 1 species